UUCCGGUUGAUCCUGCCGGAGGUCACUGCUAUCGGUGUUCGACUAAGCCAUGCGAGUCAAAUGUUCUUCGUGAACAUGGCGUACUGCUCAGUAACACGUGGAUAACCUGCCCUUAGGUCUGGCAUAACCCCGGGAAACUGGGGAUAAUUCCGGAUAGAUCAUAGAUGCUGGAAUGCCCUGUGAUCCAAAGCUUUUGUGCCUAAGGAUGGGUCUGCGGUCUAUCAGGUCGUAGUGGGUGUAAUGUACCUACUAGCCUACGACGGAUACGGGUUGUGGGAGCAAGAGCCCGGAGAUGGAUUCUGAGACAUGAAUCCAGGCCCUACGGGGCGCAGCAGGCGCGAAAACUUUACAAUGCGGGAAACCGCGAUAAGGGGACACCGAGUGCCAGCAUCCUAUGUUGGCUGUCCAUAUGUAUAAAUCACAUGUGUUAGCAAGGGCCGGGCAAGACCGGUGCCAGCCGCCGCGGUAACACCGGCGGCCCGAGUGGUGGCCACUAUUAUUGGGUCUAAAGGGUCCGUAGCCGGUUUGGUCAGUCUUCCGGGAAAUCUGACGGCUUAACCGUUAGGCUUUCGGGGGAUACUACCAGGCUUGGGACCGGGAGAGGUAAGAGGUACUACGGGGGUAGGAGUGAAAUCUUGUAAUCCCUGUGGGACCACCAGUGGCGAAGGCGUCUUACCAGAACGGGUCCGACGGUGAGGGACGAAAGCUGGGGGCACGAACCGGAUUAGAUACCCGGGUAGUCCCAGCUGUAAACUAUGCUCGCUAGGUGUCAGGGACGGUGCGACCGUUUCUGGUGCCGCAGGGAAGCCGUGAAGCGAGCCACCUGGGAAGUACGGUCGCAAGGCUGAAACUUAAAGGAAUUGGCGGGGGAGCACUACAACGGGUGGAGCCUGCGGUUUAAUUGGAGUCAACGCCGGGA
rnacentral:rRNA from 1 species